rnacentral:rRNA from 1 species
CCUCAAAUGUUUUUUAUUGGAGGUAGAGCACUGGUUGGUCUGUAUUGGCGCAAGCCAGGCAGACCAGUCAAACUCCGAAUUCCGGUAAAAUAGUUUGGGAGUCAGUAUUCGGGGGCAAAGCUCCGAAUACAAAAGAGCAAGAACUCGGACCAUCGUCUAAGGUCCCUAAAUUUUAGCUAAGUGUAGAAGGAAGUGAUGCGUCGAAGACAAAUAGGAGGUUGGCUUAGAGGUAGCCAUCCUUUAAAGAGUGUGUAACAACUCACUAUUAUAUCCCGCCUCGGUGGGAUUGACGCAUCGCGCCAAAGAUAUAACGGGACUAAGCUAAAUACCGAAGACAUGGGUUUGGUUUUACUCCGGUAAAACCAAGCGGUAGGAGAGCGUUCUUAGUGCAGCGAAGAUUGACCCGCGAGGGCGAUUGGAGCGCUAAGAAGUGAAAAUGUUGGCAUGAGUAACCUGCAAGACAGAUGAGAAAUCUGUCCGCCGAAAGCCUGAGGUUUCCUUGGCAAUGAAAAUCAGCCAAGGGUUAGGCGGUCCUAAGGCAAUGGAGAAAUCCGCAGCCGAUGGACAGACGGUUAAUAUUCCGUCCCUAUCUCAAGCGCUUUUACGGAAUGACGAAGUUUAGUAUGUCGGGCGCCUUAUUGGAUUGGCGUUCUUUGCGUUAGGGUUUUUGGGAGGCAAAUCCCCCAAGAUGCGUUUAAUCGCGAACUUAAGCGUCGAGAAAAUUUUUCACCUCGGUGAAAGAAAUUUGGCAAAGCAAGCUUCCUAGAAAACUUUCGUAAAUUAGCUUAGGAUAUCCGUACCGAAAACCGACACAGGUGGGCAGGGCGAGUAGCCCACGGCGAACGAGUGAUUCGUGGUUAAGGAACUCGGCAAAAAAGCGGCCGUAAGUUAGCGAUAUGGCCUGCCCCGCUUAGCGGGGCCGCAGCUAAAGAUUCCCUGGCGACUGUUUAUCAAAAACACAGCUCCCUGCUAACUCGCAAGAGGAUGUAUAGGGGGUGAUGCCUGACCUAUGCGAGAAGGUUAACGGCGGAUGUGGUAUUUCCAGCAAUGGAGGUACUGCUAAUGCCCGAAGCCCUCGUAAAUGUCAGCGAUAACUAUAAUCGUUCUAAGGUAGCGUAAUUCCUUGUCUGGUAUGAAUAUGCCAGUUCGGGCAGUGACGCCCGAAACAAAUCCGGCUCAUAACGGUGGAACCCUAACUGGAGUCUUGCGUAAGGACAAGAUGUUGAAGGAAGGGCAAUACCGUGGGAAGUCGUCUCGCCUUGGCGGGAUUGACCCCGUAUCGACUUAGGUCGCCGAUGACUGUUGGCGACUUGGAUAGUUGAUGUUAUAAUGAAUUAUAAAUUUCAACUAUAAUAUGCCGGCUCUGAGUAAUGCAAAAAGAAGAAUUAAUGAAUAUCUUUCCGGAUUCGUUGACGGAGAAGGAUGUUUUUCAAUAUCGUUCUCCAAACGUUCGAAAUUUAUUAUCGGCUGGGAAACAAAACCCAGUUUGUCCGUAAGUCAAAAUCGCGAUAGAGCAGAAGUGCUUUUUCUGAUGCAAAAGCAUUGGAAGUGCGGUUUUUUACGCGAUGGUGUAAUUGACAACACAAUUAAAUUUGAGGUUAGGCGAUUGGAUGAUUUAAUAAACAAAAUCAUUCCGCAUUUUGACCUCUAUCCGCUUCUUUCGUCCAAAAAUAAUGAUUACAAAUUAUUUCGUAAGAUUUGUUUUAUGAUGAAAGACGGAAAACACACGACAAUAAAUGGUUUUCGUAAAAUUAUUCCACUGGCAUUUCGCAUGAAUGCGAGCGGAAGACGAAAAUAUUCUCAAAAAGAUAUUAUGAAAUUUGCGCGUUCUCAGAUGAAGGUAUAGUCAGCGCCGUUAGAAAUAGCGGAUUAACGCGAAGUUCAGACGUGCACGAAAGGCCUAACGACUGGGGAACUGUCUCAAUCACGAGCUCGGUGAAAUUGCAAUUCCAGCGAAGAUGCUGGGUACCUGUAGCAAGACGAAAAGACCCCGGGAGCUUUACUGCAACUUAGUAUUGGCUAUAGAGCUUUGAUGCGUAGAAUAGAAGGGAGGCUUUGAAACCGUGUUUUCGGACGUGGUGGAGCCGCCAGUGAAAUACCUUUCUUUAAAGUUUUAUAAUCUAACCGGCGCGGAAAAAACGCGUUGGGACAGUGCUUGGCGGGCAGUUUUAGUGGGGCGCUAUCCUCCAAAAGCGUAACGGAGGAGUCCAUUAAGGUCGGCUAGCUUCGGAUGGAAAUCGAAGCGAUAGGGUAAAUCCAUAAGCCGGCUUAACUGCAAGACAUACAUGUCGCGCAGAUGCGAAAGCAGGGAUUAGUGAACUGUUUAUGGUUCGUAGAAACGUAAACAAUCAUCGGAUAAAAGCUACCCCGGGGAUAACAGGCUAGUCUGGUCCAAGAGUCCACAUCGACGACCAGGUUCGGCACCUCGAUGUCGGCUCAUCUUAUCCUGGGGCUGGAGAAGGUCCCAAGGGUUUGGCUGUUCGCCAAUUAAAAAGGUACGUGAGCUGGGUUCAAACCGUUGAGAAGCGAAAUAAAUUUUGGCUUUUCAACAGUUUGAAUCCGAGGAAAAAGACAUUAACACGGCGGUCAUAGGAAGUAAUUUCUAUGCACCAAGCUAACUUAUAUCGGUAAAACCCGACUGUACAAACAAGGGGCAAUACCGAGGGAAUUAUUUUUAUUAAUUUAAAAAUAAGCCCGUAGAGACUAAAUGUUAGCAAUCCUAUUUUUAUUUUUAUAUAAAAAGGAUUAAGUUAUAGUCCAAUGCACAUAGUAAUAUGUGACAACAUGCGUGAGACAGGUUGGUCUCUAUCUGCUACAGGCGUUGAUACUUGAGGAGCGUCAUUCCUAGUACGAGAGGACCGGAAUGACGGAACCUCUGGUGUACCGGCUGUCCUGCCAAGGGCAUCGCCGGGUAACUAUGUUCCGAAUUGAUAAGCGCUGAAAGCAUCUAAGCGCGAAGCAAUCUCCAAGAUUAGGUAUCGUUGUCCCGCUUGACGGGACGAGAGCUUCCUCGAAGAUUACGAGGUUGAUAGGCGAUAGGUGUAAGCGCGGCAACGCGUUGAGCCAAGUCGUACUAAUAAAGCAAUAUCUACUCAUC